UACAGAGGGGGCAAGCGUUAUUCGGAAUUAUUUGGGUACGGUAAAGGGCGCGUGAGGUCGGCCUUGCAAGUGAACGGGUGAAAUCCCUCGGCUUAACCGAGGAACUGCCUGUCAGACUGCUGGGCUUGAGACCGGGAGAGGUGAGUGGAAUUCCCAGUGUAGCGGUGAAAAUGCGUAGAUAUUGGGAGGAACACCAGUGGCGAAGGCGGCUCACUGGCCCGGUACUGACGCUGAGGUGCGAAAGCGUGGGGAGCGAACGAGG
rnacentral:rRNA from 1 species